AGUGAACGCUGGCGGUAGGCCUAACACAUGCAAGUCGAACGGCAGCACAGUAAGAGCUUGCUCUUACGGGUGGCGAGUGGCGGACGGGUGAGGAAUACAUCGGAAUCUACUUUUUCGUGGGGGAUAACGUAGGGAAACUUACGCUAAUACCGCAUACGACCUACGGGUGAAAGCAGGGGAUCUUCGCACCUUGCGCGAUUGAAUGAGCCGAUGUCGGAUUAGCUAGUUGGCGGGGUAAAGGCCCACCAAGGCGACGAUCCGUAGCUGGUCUGAGAGGAUGAUCAGCCACACUGGAACUGAGACACGGUCCAGACUCCUACGGGAGGCAGCAGUGGGGAAUAUUGGACAAUGGGCGCAAGCCUGAUCCAGCCAUACCGCGUGGGUGAAGAAGGCCUUCGGGUUGUAAAGCCCUUUUGUUGGGAAAGAAAAGCAGCAGGUUAAUACCCCGCUGUUCUGACGGUACCCAAGGAAUAAGCACCGGCUAACUUCGUG
rnacentral:rRNA from 1 species